rnacentral:pre_miRNA from 1 species
CAGCUCCGCAGGCUGGGCUGGGCAAGUACCUCUUCCAAAGGCUCACCCUCAAGCACGACUAGGAGG